rnacentral:rRNA from 1 species
UACAGAGGUCUCAAGCGUUGUUCGGAUUCAUUGGGCGUAAAGGGUGCGUAGGCGGCGCGGUAAGUCGGGUGUGAAAUCUCGGGGCUUAACUCCGAAACUGCAUUCGAUACUGCCGUGCUUGAGGACUGGAGAGGAGACUGGAAUUUACGGUGUAGCGGUGAAAUGCGUAGAUAUCGUAAGGAAGACCAGUGGCGAAGGCGGGUCUCUGGGCAGUAACUGACGCUGAGGAGCGAAAGCUGGGGGAGCGAACGG